GAUGAACGCUGACAGAAUGCUUAACACAUGCAAGUCAACUUGAAUUUGGGUUUUAACCUUAGGUUUGGGUGGCGGACGGGUGAGUAACGCGUAAAGAACUUGCCUCACAGCUAGGGACAACAUUUGGAAACGAAUGCUAAUACCUAAUAUUAUGAUAAUAGGGCAUCCUAUAAUUAUGAAAGCUAUAAGCGCUGUGAGAGAGCUUUGCGUCCCAUUAGCUAGUUGGAGAGGUAACGGCUCACCAAGGCGAUGAUGGGUAGCCGGCCUGAGAGGGUGAUCGGCCACAAGGGGACUGAGACACGGCCCUUACUCCUACGGGAGGCAGCAGUGGGGAAUAUUGGACAAUGGACCGAGAGUCUGAUCCAGCAAUUCUGUGUGAACGAUGAAGUUUUUCGGAAUGUAAAGUGCUUUCAGUUGGGAAGAAACAAAUGACGGUACCAACAGAAGAAGUGACGGCUAAAUACGUG
rnacentral:rRNA from 1 species